GGGUUACAUCUUUCUUCACAUAAAAGCAGUUCACAUCCUGAUACAAGAUCUGUGAGCUUCUCAUUGAACAACUAACUGAUCUGUUGGCUGACUCAGAAGUCACAGAUAAAGAGGCAAUGGCUCUAGGAAAACUUUGAGGGCGGGCGGGGGGCACCUCCCAGGUCCGGCACCUGUCGGCUAUUCAAGUCCAGUUCUAGAGGUUCCAGAGGGAGUCUGAUAUGCUCGCAUGAGAGUGAAGUUUCAUUCGAAACUCAUUUAAGCUGGAGACAAAUUCACAUUGAUUCUUUUGAACCGUAGGUGGCGGCAAUUAAAACGUCUCAACAUGAACACACUGGGUGAGAAAACGGUGCUUUCUCUGAUGGCUGCAGUUGGUGCUCAAAGGACAGUGAAAUCUCCGGUUGGAGGGCACAAGAGCUGGUGAAGGCUUGGACAGUUACAGAGCUGGUUUUGUACUUUCCACCUAAGGAUUGAGAAGGUGGAGAAGGUGAUUGCUGGAUAGGGCGGUGUGAUGGAAUGUGUUUUUAUUCUGAGCUGUGCUAACUCCACUUCUGAAAGAGGAUUCCAGCAGACAGCACAGAGGAUGCUCUAGAAGGUGGAAGGUCUGGACUUCAAAGCCUCACCCAUCAGCAUCUUUGCCCCUCAGCUUGACAGCCCUGUACUCCCCAGGCAGAGCUG